rnacentral:rRNA from 1 species
AGAAUGAACGCUAGCGAUAUGCUUAACACAUGCAAGUUGAACGUUGUUUUCGAAUCAGAAUGAGAACAAAGUAGCGAACGGGUGCGUAACACGUGGGAAUCUGCCGAACAGUUUGGGCCAAAUCCCGAAUGAAUAAAAGCUAAAAAGCGCUGUUUGAUGAGCCCACGUAGUAUUAGGUAGUUGGUUAGGUAAAAGCUGACCAAGCCUACGAUGCUUAGCUGGUCUUUUCGGAUGAUCAGCCACACUGGGACUGAGACACGGCCCAGACUCCUACGGGAGGCAGCAGUGGGGAAUCUUGGACAAUGGGCGAAAGCCUGAUCCGGCAAUAUGGCGUGAGUGAAGAAGGGCAACGCAGCUUGUAAAGCUCUUUCAUCGAGUGUGCGAUUGUGACAAGACUCGAAUAAGAACGCCCCGGCUAACCUCCGUGCCCAGCACGCCGC